UACGGAGGGAGCUAGCGUUGUUCGGAAUUACUGGGCGUAAAGCGCGCGUAGGCGGUUUUUUAAGUCAGAGGUGAAAGCCCGGGGCUCAACCCCGGAAUAGCCUUUGAAACUGGAAAACUUGAAUCUUGGAGAGGUCAGUGGAAUUCCGAGUGUAGAGGUGAAAUUCGUAGAUAUUCGGAAGAACACCAGUGGCGAAGGCGGCUCGCUGGACUCUUGCUGACGCUGAGACGCGAAAGCGUGGGGAGCAAACAGG
rnacentral:rRNA from 1 species